AUUGCUCUCUUGUCCAGAAACCCAUGGAUUCAAGCUCCUAAAUAUUUUUCAAGCUUCAUCAAUCACUUUGACAGCCAUUGGGAUAGAUCAGACCCCAUAAAAGGUUGCAUUAUGGAUGAAGAAAGCAAUGCAGUAGAAAAGUGUUACAAAUAAAAGCUCUUCAUCAUCCCUAUAUACAACCUAUCUGGAUUUUCAUGCAUUAACAGAAAAAAAAAAAAAAAGGAUAAAUUUAAUUAGUGCAAUGACAGGCAUAAUUUCAGGUGUUGGAGAAACCAAAAUAGCAUUUGAAAUUUGUUGGAAAAGAGCAUCUUCAUAGAUGUCAUCU
rnacentral:lncRNA from 1 species